GAACCCAUCGAGGUGAUGAACGAUUCGUAAAGCCAUUAUCAAAAAGAUUUUUUAGGAAUCGGUUUGACGGUCUAAUUGGAAAGCGUUCACGUCUUGUUAGCCCCCGGCUGUAGAAUCACCAUAUAAGCAACACUAACAAGAGAUGUGACUUGUAUUACAGAGAAUUACAGUGUAGAUAGUCUUUCCGUGCAUAGAAACACAAACAGGACCCAAGUUGAAAUAAUGUGUUACGUUGACGAAUGAAUGUUUUGAAAAAGUACAAUCCUUAGACAGACUUUUUCCCAGGCUAAACGAGCUGAACCCAAUUACGUGUAGCUGUGCGUACUGAAGAAAUUGUUACUCCUUGACAGUUAUUAAGUAUCUGAAAUUGAUAUUUCUUUUUGCUAUAUGCGUGCGACUGCUGCGAUGCAUGCGAUUAGACAAGAAAAUAUUUUACGUAUAACCCUGCUCUGAAGACAAUUAUACGAUAUCUGAACUGUAUCAAGCAGCUAAUCUGAAGUAAACGGCCUGUCACCAACAGCUACGCAGAAUCUCAGCCAAUAAAAUUGAGGCAACGAAAUAUUGGGCUUUUAAACGGGCAUUGUAGCAGAGCAACGGUAGAUAUGGAGUCUAAAAUGACAUCCAGGCGUCUACGUUUCCUUAUGCACCUGACGGUGACUACGCUCCUUAUUACAACGCUCGUAUCUGUCGAUUCAACGACGGCCUGCAUAAUGAGACAAUCAUGUGUUUGUACGCGCCGCCGAAUGGGACUUGAAAAGGUCUGCGCCCAGGAACAAGGAAAAUCUCCAAGAACUUAUACAAAUUUGUGUGAGACGAUUUGUGCGAACGCUGAAGUUCUCUACAGUGGACGGUGCAGAGAAUCGUCCGAUGAUCUAGCGGCAGAACAAUAACAAUAUGUUUUUGGGUUUAAGCAAUCGCCUAUUAUGCCUUUAAGAUUUCUCUCAUUAUUCGUAUAGCAUUACUAAAUAUUUGAACGCUGUCAUUUGUAACUAAAUGAUCAGUACCUAAGGACGUCUGCCCUCCUAAACAAUAACGAUUGAAUCAUUAUCGUCUUUAUAUAUUUGCGACGCUCUUAUGUCACCAUGACCAGCAUAUACGAGAUGACGUCCAGCUAGAUGUAUAGUAAAAAUACAGAAAAGUCAAGAUCACUUUUAUUUUGACGUCGGAGUAAAAUUACACAGUUCAUAAUUAAAUGUCAAUUCUUAAUGCUUUUUUUGCAAAUGUUUUGUUUCCGCCAAUUUUUAUAGUUUUGCGUUGUUUCCUUAAUAUCCUUGAAAGCGCCACAGCUGUACCAUCUAUCCGCACACUUAAUGAAGUUAUCUAAUAUAUAUUCUGAUUGGGCUAACUAUUCAAAUAACUUGAUUAACACAAAUCACCUUAAGUUACAGUCACGUUUGACCCUUCGAUUUAACGUGACGAGGUUCAAUAUAAAGUUCUUCGCAGUAACCGUUGAGCUAAAUACGCGUUGGUGGCUUUCCAAUCACGCUCCUUUUCCUUGGCUAUCGUCAUUUCACCACAGAAUCCUUUUCCGACAUAACUAUUUCAGCUUCACCAAAACAGACGAAACCCUUAAAGAAAUGAAGUUUUCAUUUUCCAAGUCCCAGUUGAAACGACGUUGAAACUACAGCCACCAAAGUCGGCCAAAACGUGCCUUGUCUUCCUGCUCACAAUUGAGCUUCCAGAUUGUGACAAUACUACCAUCUAAAGCCAAUAUCAGCUUAACUAUUAUAGGUAAACUAUUUCCUUCGUUCACAUAAAUGAAUUACUCUUUGCCGACGGACCAAGCCCACAAAUCGAAUGGGUCGACAAGGGCGAACGAUAUUUCUCUACCAGAUCAUAACAAUAUCGGCUAUUGCCAAUUGGAAAUCUCGAACAGUUGCAAAACCGAAGUAAAUAAGACCAGAAAGGUUGGAAUCUGUACGAAAUUAGAGCAGCCCACCCGACUUUACCCGUAUGAAAACGUGUUAUUUAAAAACAAUAAGGCGGACCGAAAGGUGUAGCUUAAAAGAUCGUUCUCUUUCCUAGAUAUCCGCCUAAGAGGUAUACAUCUAAUAACAUUAUAAUACAAUCAUUAGAAAUGUGUUUCGUCUAAUUUUACCUUUAGCUUCCUAAUCUGCUACCAUAGAGCGUGGCACUUUUCAGCACAACCUUUAGAACUACGGAAUUAAUUAAAUAGCGACUAAAAAAAUCAAUCUUAAUUAGGCGUGUAACGUACGCACCAGCGACUGUAAACGCUCUAGAGACGCCAGUCGCGGUGAGAGAUAUUAGCGCUAAAGACAAGGUUCGUACGUGCGAAAAAAUGUAACCUACCAUAUGGUCUUCUUUUGUUGUUACACGGUACUAAAUGUAUCCAUCGAGACACCCCACCAGCCGAGUGGCUUCCAGUACGAAACGAAGUGCGCCAAUCAAUGCCCAAAUUCGGACUUAGAUUAUCGUGUGUUACGAAGUACUGAUAAGCUUUAGGCGUUCUGAAGGUUCACAACUUUGAUUUGAUCGCUAACGGGUUAGCAAACAUUAGGCUUAAGCCUCCUCGGAAUCUUCACCCUGAACAUGAGUUGCAGACAUUACGGAAAUUGCCAUUGAAAUCGAAAGGAUACAUCGGAGGACCGAUUAUUGUAAACAAAAGUAUAUCGACGUGUGAAGACCGGAGGAAAUAAACAAUGUUACGAACAUCCAUUAUAAUACAUACUUCACUGUUUAUAAUUAAUUACCAAUUAAUAUAUUUUAUUUAUAUACUUUUUUAGCCUUCUUUCUUAGCUCGGUGUUCAAUCACAUGGUUUUCACAAGACAGCUUUGUCUUGCGCGCUAUCAUGAAUCUUAGCCUAUAUGUUAAGGUAGUCUGUGCACUAUAUAUAGGUGGCCGUAACACAACGAAACACGAAACGUUAACUCGAAAAUGCUACAGACGCCAAGACCUUUGCGAUGGCUACACAUUAUAUUAUGGAAGACGAAGAAUAUAAUGAAGGUCGCGUGGAUACACGUACUCGAUAUGAAACAAGGAAUGUAGGGCUUUUCCUUUCCAUUAAGCGGAUUAACGAGGCGAACCAACAACGAAACUUCAAUAUCAUAUAAGAGUGACCUCGGUAAAGUUUGAAGAUAGACUUCAAAUGAGAGCCACGUUUGAGGACUAUGUCACGACUUCAAACAGAGCGCCUUUGGAAAACGUUAGUGAAUGUAGCAAUAUCUAUAGAGCACCCUUCGAAGUUGUACGGACAUAGACAUCGAAAUGUUCUCGUUAAAUAUUUAACCUACAUCUGAGUAUAGUGGUCCCAGAACAAAGGGUGCUAUGGCUGUUUCUGAGCAUGGUAUUUUUAAAAACUUAGCUAUUACCAAUAACGAUAUCAGCUUCCGCUGCCAUUCUGUCAAGAACCUGUAAACAUAUUACACGGCUUCCGAGAACUUGACAGAUAUCUACAAAAUGGUAUUUGGCCGAGUUAACUGUUAACGUCCUGCGUUUUCACCAAGCGUAAGAGCCUGAUCUUUUGCUACCAAAACCGCCAAAAUUCAAUCUGUUGAAUACACUCCAAGACGUGGUAUAUCUGUUAGCGUAUUCAGCUGUGCAAACGGUGAGUCUAAUAAGCUCUGUUGUGGAUGGUCGAGAAUGAAAUAGCAGAUAUGCGAACGCCAUCUUCGAUCGUCAUUGAGAACUUUCUUUAAGAGAAAACACGUACAGGUGAACGGAACGACCCUUCCCGCACCUUUCCAUUGUGUUUAAAUACACUUUAUUUCGUAAAGCAAUGGUUAACGGCAGUAUCGGAUGUUAUAUUCAAAUAAAUGUUUCAUAUCCAAUGUAGAUGCUCAGAUUUUUCAUAUCGUUGCCUACGAUAAAUUCAACAUCUGUUCCCGCGGAAUACCACGAAAUUACACGUAAAAAAUAUCGUAUAUCAUACAGCGCGUUUGGAUAUGGCCCUCAAGCAGAACGCUAAUUUCUGCUUGUCGGUAUUGAUGUCAUUUAUGAAACAAUUGGCUUCCUAAACUUUACAUUAGACUGAAAUAGGGGGCACGAGAGAAUAUAUGUCGUCAUAUUCGGAGGUCUUCCUUAAGCCGUAUAAGUUAUUUUGCUAUAAAGCCGCUUAAAACUUCAAUGAAAGUGUUACUUUGCAACAAAACUAUCGAAAUAUUGCGUCAGUUGUAUCAGCAAUAUUUCAGUAGUCAUACAUAUUAGUAUCUCGUUUACGAUAUGUAUCAUCUAACCGUAUCCGUUUGUUAUUAAUGGUUUUUAAGCACUAGGUAGCCGCGAUGCUUGCAAUUAAACUUUUGCGCCAAACUAAGACGAGCGAAUCCAACCGUGAAAUCAUAAUAAUAAUUAAAUUUUACUUGAUAGAACAUUAUAUUUCCGUGACUGCAUAUACAAGAAAUGGUCUUUUUACACGUUGUGUCUAUCGAUUCGAGCAGCUAGAUGCUGCUCACGGCCGACAGAUUUGACGUUUUAAAAUUUUGUAGUAACUAAACUUCGGUAAUCACAACUUGCGGAGAGAGUACAAUUUUACAGCAGUUAUUUCGGAGAAAUUUAUGAAAACGAUGUCUGCACGAACUACACAACUAACCGAAAAACAAGCUAGCGAUUAGUUAGGUUUAAGAAAUUACACGUAAAAAUAUAAAAACAGUACACAUCCAGAAGGAUGCAAUUCAACUGUUCUGUGAAGAAGCGUAUUUCACACAGAGUGGGAACGCAGCGGAAGUCUUCGUGGCUUAGCGGAUUUCCGGAUUGGAGACAAUACAGAUAAAUUAUCGGAGAAUAUAGAGUUAUUAUUAAGUAACGUUCAAUGCUACGCCACAAAUUAGACAGAGUGUAUGUAGGCCUGCUGGCAUGAAAUGAGACUGAAUAGCCUAGCUAGAGCAAAGAAUUUAGUUUUAAAAAGAAACUCAAAUAGUCAACAAGGUUCUUUGUUUAUAAAUCCAGAGCAAGUCGGGUUUGUAUUGGUUUGGCAGUCUGUUCAGGAGAACACGUAUAAAAAUAUAGCAUAAUUAUAACGGACAGUGUUGUAUGGACUUCUGUUGCAUAAAUGAUUAAUUAUAUGGCCAACCCAUUCACGAAAUAUAGGGUUUCCACUGGUGUAGGGUUAAGGGCUUUUCAGGUAAGUCUAUAUAUGGACUAAAUAGCUUAGUGAAGAAAUGUUUCGAGUUUCACGUCCGGUCCUAAGCAUUGCCCCAGAGAACUGGCUCCUAGCAUGAAGCUUGCAUGAUGUAUCUUUGUCUGCCUCGAAUCCAAGGCACCAGUUGUAAGUUUAUUAGGGAGACACGUUACCGCUGCACCGUCACGAGAAUACACUGAAUCAUCUGUCAAGCACUUACUUGACAUAUCGUUGAAGUAAUGCUAAACAGACUAUGUUGAACGCUCGUUACGUCGAUUAGUUCAUUCGAAGUAACAGCGAUGUAGAAAAACGGGAACUAAACAAAUUCAUAGUUCGUGAUUCUUUCGGGUGCAUUCGUCUCCAGCCUAUAGUAAAAUUUCCAGCAGCGUUUCAAUAGUAGCCUUUAUAAGGUCGAAUUUUUGCGGAACGAAGCAUCUUACAGAGAGAAAAUUGCCUAUUUGAACGGCCCAAUAUGCCGCUUCGAUUGGACCAAAUGCCAAGGACGGCAGCCGGACGUACUUCAUAUUCAUGCAGCAGCCCGGUAAAAAGUAAAAAAAAAAAAAUAGUUAAAGCAGUUAAAAACAGCGAAUAUGUGCUAAUAGGUAACGGAGACCAAAAAGUAUACAUUUAUUAAUUAUUGCUUCAUGUGUAUAGUAUUGUGCUUGCAUAAUUAAUGAAUACAGUUUUUCUUGACCGAUUACCGGUCCGAACUGCAACACAGCUUCCGACUUCAGAGCCUCUUCAGAUAUCACUACUACGGAAACCGUGAGAUGUGCGCGAGGCUUCGUAGCCAUGCAGCCUCCAAA
rnacentral:lncRNA from 1 species